rnacentral:lncRNA from 1 species
AAUUAAUUACAAAGUCGGAGGACCAAAAAAAAAGAAAUUAGUUAAUCUUUUAAUCUCUCUCUCUCUCUCUCUCUCUCUCUCUCUCUCUCUCUCUCCUCCUCUCUCUCUCUCUCUCUCUCUCUCUCUCUCUCUCUCUCAAUAGCCAGGGAAAUGGUUGAAACGUGCACCAACUCACAAGUUGCGACCAUCGCUUUCGAGUUGGACCAACCUGAAGCUCCGGUCAGAGAAUAUGGAUCUCCAAGGUCAUUAUACGUACUAUACUCUUUGAUUAUUUUGACAUCUUUUUUUGGUUAUAUAAUGAUUAUAUUUAAUAUGAUUCAUAAUUUUGUAGCGUGCUCCAAGUUCUUGGACGCCACGGGUAGGAGCCACGGAUCAACUUGGUGAAACCGUUGCAAUUGGUGGAGUUGGCCGGGGAAAGGAUGAAUGUUGAACAGAUGAACGACUUAACAUUGCUAGCCGUCGCCGAGAGCACAACUAUUUUUAUCGACAACAUCCGGAAAGAAACCCAAAGGCGCAACGGAUGAUGUGUUUAAGGGUGUUUAUUUAGUUUGUUGCUUUGAUUUUUCAAGUUUGUGUUUGUAGCUGGUUUAUUUUGUUGCUUUGGUCUAUCGGUUUAUUUUUA